UCUUCUGCCCCCUCCUCCUCUCAAAGCUGAGUGGGAAGGGGCUUCAGACAAAGAUCAGGAAAGCUUGACGUAUGGCUAGGGAACUUAAGGAGGGAGAGGUACCGGGAUGUGGCUCAACCUGAGAAAGUCCCAGGUCAAAUGAAGUCAGACAGCAAAGGUGAUUGAACUUUCAGUCUUGAAAAUACAUCAUGGAACCUGAUUUUCCGAAGAAGUGAUUCAAACUGAACAGCAAGGGAGAAGAAUCUCCUCCUUGUGUCACUAGAAUGUGGAACAGAGAAGAAGGAAGAGCUGACAUAAUACAGACCAAGCAGAUUUUAAAAACAAACAAACAAACAAAACCACAUCCAGUUCCAUCAGCCACACCUGGCAGUAAAGCACUCAGUGGCCAACUCAGCAGUCCCACUUUGGUUCUUCUUAGA